CUGACAAGAGCCUCGUGAGUCACAGACACUGAUUUCUGCCACUUCCGUGCCCGUUACUCCAGCUGCCCACACUGUCAACAGAGAUAAACAAGGGGAGGGAAUUCGUCGCCAACUUCACCUUAAGGUAAGAAAUAUGAGGCUCAGAAAGACAAAAUGGCUUCCUCCAGGUCGCACUGCUGCACAGUGAUGGCUCCAGAGCCCUCUCUCUCAGGAGCAUCCAUGGUCUGCAAGGGAGACUCGCUGGAACUCAUGAAAAUAUAUACCACCCCCACUGUGUGCAGUAUCCUGAACCUACUCCCAUCGUACAGAGCACAGAACAAUUGAAGCCAUCAUCACCACUACCACCACCAGC